rnacentral:rRNA from 1 species
UACGUAGGUGGCAAGCGUUGUCCGGAUUUACUGGGCGUAAAGGAUGCGUAGGCGGACAUUUAAGUCAGAUGUGAAAUACCCGAGCUUAACUUGGGUGCUGCAUUUGAAACUGGGUGUCUAGAGUGCAGGAGAGGUAAGUGGAAUUCCUAGUGUAGCGGAUGAAUGCGUAGAGAUUAGAAGAACACCAGUGGCGAAGGCGACUUCUGGACUGUAACUGACGCUGAGGCAUGAAAGCGUGGGGAGCAAACAGG